rnacentral:rRNA from 1 species
AGUGAACGUUGGCGGCGUGGAUUAGGCAUGCAAGUCGAGCGAGAACCGUAGCAAUACGGGGGCAGCGGCGAAAGGGACAGUAAUGUGUAGGUACCUACCCCCGGGUUCGGGAUAGCUGCGGGAAACUGCAGGUAAUACCGAAUAAUGUCUCCGGACCAAAGGUGUGAUUCCACCUGGGGAGGGGCCUGCAUCCUACUAGCUUGUUGGGGGGGUAACGGCCUACCAAGGCGACGAUGGGUAGGGGGUGUGGGAGCAUGACCCGCGUCAUUGGGACUGAGACACUGCCCAGACACCUCCGGGUGGCUGCAGUCGGGAUUCUUCGGCAAUGGGCGCAAGCCUGACCGGGCGCCGCCGCGUGCGGGAUGAAGGCCUUCGGGUUGUAAACCGCUGCCGUAGAGGAGGAAAUGCAGGAGGGUUCUCCCUCCUGUUUGACCUAUUCUAGGAGGAAGUACGGGCUAAGUUCGUGCCAGCCGCCGCCGUAA